CUACAGACAGCCUAGGCGUCAUUUAGGUUAUAACAUAAACUGAACUACAGACAGCCUAGGCGUCAUUUGGGGUUAUAACAUAAACAGAACUACAGACAAUUUUAUUCUCCCACUAAUCCGCACAUCAAUAGGGGAUGGGGUGGUUAAAUAUCUGUGUAUUGGUUACCAAGCUGGAGAUAAUUGAGUUCAACUCUUGGUGAGACUGGUAUUCGUGCAGUGCGUUGUAGAAUUAAUACGCGGCUUAAAGUGGAAAGGAUGGUCGAUCAUUUUGUCGAGAGAAUCCACUAGUUGUUGUUUUUUUUAUUAAUAUUCUUAAGUACAUAGAUCUAUAAUAGUGUUGUUUCUUUUUAGAAGGAAUAAUGUUAACUACAUGUUUUAGUUUAACAUAAGGUUUUGAAAUAAGUACUACCAACUACAAGUUGUAGAUUAAGAGCUCGUUUUGUUGAAAACAAAAGGAUGACUCAUACGACUAGGACAUAGUUGUGUAGUGUUUUUCCUGACUCAUGUUCAAUAUAAAAUUCCGUACCAAAUGUAAUUCCUAGACGUAUUUAGAAAUCGUGUAGCUUGGCAGCUUGGUCAGACUAGUGCCAACACUGAAACCAAGCAUGUUGGGUUCUAACGUUUUAUUGAAGUAAAGCAAAAAAAACUAUCCCUGAGUCUUACCAUUGAAUUUAUUGAGUCUUCUCUCGUCUCUCUCUUGUUUUGUUAUUGAGAUUUAGAAUUUCUUUCUCCACCACUAUCCUUUGUAUACUCAGCUCUUAGCAAGACGCAGACCAGACCCAUACACAAUCUGUUUACGUUCAUUGUACAUACUUCGAUUAGAAUUGUUUCUUAUUUAUUUAUGCUUUAUGUUUUUAUGAAAAUCUGAAAAUCAUUUUUUGUUUGUUCAUUAUUAUGUUCAGCUUUUGAACAUUUUAUUUUUUGUUCACAUUAUUUACUUGGUGGUAUGACGUCAUUUUUAUAUGGAGAAUAAAUGAAAUUAUGAAAUUCA